AUCGGGAUUGAAGCUUGCUUCAAUUGCCCGGCGACCGGCGCACGGGUGCGUAACGCGUAUGUAACCUACCUAUAACAGGGGCAUAACACUGAGAAAUUGGUACUAAUUCCCCAUAAUAUUCGGAGAGGCAUCUCUCCGGGUUGAAAACUCCGGUGGUUAUAGAUGGACAUGCGUUGUAUUAGCUAGUUGGUGAGGUAACGGCUCACCAAGGCAACGAUACAUAGGGGGACUGAGAGGUUAACCCCCCACACUGGUACUGAGACACGGACCAGACUCCUACGGGAGGCAGCAGUGAGGAAUAUUGGUCGAUGGACGCAAGUCUGAACCAGCCAUGCCGCGUGCAGGAAGACGGCUCUAUGAGUUGUAAACUGCUUUUGUACGAGGGUAAACUCACCUACGUGUAGGUGACUGAAAGUAUCGUACGAAUAAGGAUCGGCUAACUCCGUGCCAGCAGCCGCGGUAAUACGGAGGAUUCAAGCGUUAUCCGGAUUUAUUGGGUUUAAAGGGUGCGUAGGCGGUUUGAUAAGUUAGAGGUGAAAUCCCGGGGCUUAACUCCGGAACUGCCUCUAAUACUGUUAGACUAGAGAGUAGUUGCGGUAGGCGGAAUGUAUGGUGUAGCGGUGAAAUGCUUAGAGAUCAUACAGAACACCGAUUGCGAAGGCAGCUUACCAAACUAUAUCUGACGUUGAGGCACGAAAGCGUGGGGA
rnacentral:rRNA from 1 species